GGGUUGACAUCAAAAUAUUGAUACUAACUCAUCGUUUACUAGUAGAUACGCUUAGAUUGAUUCAUGCAAUAUUAUUGAUGGACGAUCAAUUUAAUUAAUCAUCGAGGAUUAAUAUUAAUUUGCAAAGUCGACUAAUUAAAUAUAGAAAUCUAAAAUACAUUAGAUACGUUUUCGAUAAAAAUCAUAUAGGUGUUAAUAACCAACUAAUAUUUACAUAUUCUUAUUCAACUUUUCUACGUGAGAAAGUAUCGGUUUUGCGUAUAAAUAAAUA